rnacentral:lncRNA from 1 species
UGUCCCAGAGGUUCGAAACCUCUAAUUUUAUAUUUUUCUUUUGUGGUGACUUUUCUUCAUUCUCUUAUACUUAAAAAUUAUUUAAUCAAUAAAAUCGAAUUCUUCUUUACAGAGAGCCUCCUUUUCUUCUUCUGCAUUCUUUUAUUUUCUUGCAUUGAUUUGUGUUGUGACACUCUUGUUUCCCAACAAUAGUGCCCUAUCGAAGCUCUUCCCCUGCCGCAGGGGAUCCUUUUGAAGUCCAUGAUCUGGGAUCUCAAAAGAAAAGUUCGUCACUUGAUGAAGAAAUCAAAGAAGCUGGAUGACGAACUUCACUAGCUGAGGAAGAGCCAUUCGGAAGUCACUGCGGAGACUAUUCACUUUCAGGACC